UACGGAGGGGGCUAGCGUUGUUCGGAAUUACUGGGCGUAAAGCGCACGUAGGCGGCUUUGUAAGUUAGAGGUGAAAGCCCAGGGCUUAACCCUGGAAUUGCCUUUAAGACUGCAUCGCUAGAAUUGUGGAGAGGUAAGUGGAAUUCCGAGUGUAGAGGUGAAAUUCGUAGAUAUUCGGAAGAACACCAGUGGCGAAGGCGGCUCACUGGCCCGGUACUGACGCUGAGGCGCGAAAGCGUGGGGAGCAAACAGG
rnacentral:rRNA from 1 species